rnacentral:snRNA from 1 species
AUUUUCUAAUAUAAUCCAGAU